CAACCUGGGGAAAGGUGUGAGGCUCAGAAAGAGAUCCCAAGGAACAGCUGUCACACGCAGAGCACAGAUUUUGGCCAGAUCAGCUCUCCGAACUGGCCUGCUGAACAGCAGAAGAACUGACGUUGGUGGAGAAAGGGAGGAAAUGGGAGAACACGGGAGAUGCAGGGAGAGGAGGGAGGAUGCAGGACAACCAAAGACCUACUUAGGGUCAUCUUCCACCACCGUGAAAAACACGGCUGUUGGAAGCAGCAGCGCUUCCCUCUGUGCCCUGAGACGCAGCUAGCCUCCGGGAGCGUGGGAACAUCCCCUGGGAAGGUACAGUCGUGGCUGCAGAUGAAAUCAACCAAGCACCCCAAAUUCAAGGAUUUAUUUUUUUUAAAAGUUUUUGUUCAUCUUUCAAAAGCAUAGAAAGAGCAAAAUACAGAAUUUAGAUCCAAAUCUUCCUAUGUAGGAUGCCUGGACUAAGGUAGGGGGGCCAGGUCAGGCAUCUAUUAAUUAAAAAUCUCACCUGGACCCUGCUAGCUUCCAAAAGGCUCUUCUGCUCAUAACUUCAUAGCACUGCAACUGAACUAUCAUUCUACCCCCACCCCUUUAUCUUCUGCAGUUCUCCCUGGGUGAUAAAAGUUUGUAAACACACUGGCAUUUUGAUGUGAUUUUUAAGUUCAUAAAAAUGUUCAAAGCGACACCAGUACUUGGCAAUACUGGAGAAACGAUACGCAGAGGGUUACACUCUCACACUGAGCAUCUGGAUAGGAACAUCCAGGAAGGUGUCGGUGCGCUAAUGUGAAAUCAGUUCAGAAGAGCCAGCACCUUCCUCAGCUGUUAGCAUUUAAAAGAGGUCGAGGCUUUCAGAGGGACCCAAAGCAAUUAGAUGCUCCAGACUCACUGAAUUUCAAUUAGAUUUGUGCACUUACUUCCUUCAGGUUCUUCUGAAAUCAAACCCAUCACUUACACCUAUAAUCAUGCUUAAGUUUUGAAGCGCCUUUCUCCUUUUGUGUGUAUGCAAGGCUUUAUUGGGGAAAAUCUUUUGUGUGGAUGAUUAACUUCAAAUGUACUUAAGUAUUUCUUGAAGUAAACACAACUUACAUACAUUU